UACGGGGGGGGCAAGCGUUGUUCGGAAUUACUGGGCGUAAAGGGCUCGUAGGCGGCCAACUAAGUCGGACGUGAAAUCCCUCGGCUUAACCGGGGAACUGCGUCCGAUACUGGAUGGCUUGAGUUCGGGAGAGGGAUGCGGAAUUCCAGGUGUAGCGGUGAAAUGCGUAGAUAUCUGGAGGAACACCGGUGGCGAAGGCGGCAUCCUGGACCGGUAUUGACGCUGAGGCGCGAAAGCUAGGGGAGCAAACGGG
rnacentral:rRNA from 1 species